rnacentral:rRNA from 1 species
CAGAUUGAACGCUGGCGGCAGGCCUAACACAUGCAAGUCGAACGGUAACAGGAAGCAGCUUGCUGCUUUGCUGACGAGUGGCGGACGGGUGAGUAAUGUCUGGGAAACUGCCUGAUGGAGGGGGAUAACUACUGGAAACGGUGGCUAAUACCGCAUAACGUCGCAAGACCAAAGAGGGGGACCUUCGGGCCUCUUGCCAUCAGAUGUGCCCAGAUGGGAUUAGCUUGUUGGUGAGGUAACGGCUCACCAAGGCGACGAUCCCUAGCUGGUCUGAGAGGAUGACCAGCCACACUGGAACUGAGACACGGUCCAGACUCCUACGGGAGGCAGCAGUGGGGAAUAUUGCACAAUGGGCGCAAGCCUGAUGCAGCCAUGCCGCGUGUAUGAAGAAGGCCUUCGGGUUGUAAAGUACUUUCAGCGGGGAGGAAGGUGUUGUGGUUAAUAACCGCAGCAAUUGACGUUACCCGCAGAAGAAGCACCGGCUAACUCCGUGCCAGCAGCCGCGGUAAUACGGAGGGUGCAAGCGUUAAUCGGAAUUACUGGGCGUAAAGCGCACGCAGGCGGUCUGUCAAGUCGGAUGUGAAAUCCCCGGGCUCAACCUGGGAACUGCAUUCGAAACUGGCAGGCUUGAGUCUUGUAGAGGGGGGUAGAAUUCCAGGUGUAGCGGUGAAAUGCGUAGAGAUCUGGAGGAAUACCGGUGGCGAAGGCGGCCCCCUGGACAAAGACUGACGCUCAGGUGCGAAAGCGUGGGGAGCAAACAGGAUUAGAUACCCUGGUAGUCCACGCCGUAAACGAUGUCUACUUGGAGGUUGUGCCCUUGAGGCGUGGCUUCCGGAGCUAACGCGUUAAGUAGACCGCCUGGGGAGUACGGCCGCAAGGUUAAAACUCAAAUGAAUUGACGGGGGCCCGCACAAGCGGUGGAGCAUGUGGUUUAAUUCGAUGCAACGCGAAGAACCUUACCUGGUCUUGACAUCCACAGAAGAAUCCAGAGAUGGAUUUGUGCCUUCGGGAACUGUGAGACAGGUGCUGCAUGGCUGUCGUCAGCUCGUGUUGUGAAAUGUUGGGUUAAGUCCCGCAACGAGCGCAACCCUUAUCCUUUGUUGCCAGCGGUUAGGCCGGGAACUCAAAGGAGACUGCCAGUGAUAAACUGGAGGAAGGUGGGGAUGACGUCAAGUCAUCAUGGCCCUUACGACCAGGGCUACACACGUGCUACAAUGGCGCAUACAAAGAGAAGCGACCUCGCGAGAGCAAGCGGACCUCAUAAAGUGCGUCGUAGUCCGGAUUGGAGUCUGCAACUCGACUCCAUGAAGUCGGAAUCGCUAGUAAUCGUGGAUCAGAAUGCCACGGUGAAUACGUUCCCGGGCCUUGUACACACCGCCCGUCACACCAUGGGAGUGGGUUGCAAAAGAAGUAGGUAGCUUAACCUUCGGGAGGGCGCUUACCACUUUGUGAUUCAUGACUGGGGUGAAGUCGUAACAAGGUAACCGUAGGGGAACCUGCGGUUGGAUCACCUCCUUACCUUAAAGAA